rnacentral:rRNA from 1 species
UACGUAGGGUGCAAGCGUUAAUCGGAAUUACUGGGCGUAAAGCGUGCGCAGGCGGUUCCGCAAGUCAGAUGUGAAAUCCCCGGGCUCAACCUGGGAACUGCAUUUGAAACUAUGGAGCUAGAGUGUGUCAGAGGGGGUUAGAAUUCCACGUGUAGCAGUGAAAUGCGUAGAGAUGUGGAGGAACACCGCUGGCGAAGGCAGCCCCCUGGGUCAAGAUUGACGCUCAUGCACGAAAGCGUGGGGAGCAAACAGG